rnacentral:tRNA from 1 species
AAAGGCUUAAGUUAAAAAAACUAAAAGCCUUCAAAGCUUUAAUCGGUACCAAAACCAGCCUUUA